rnacentral:rRNA from 1 species
GACGAACCGUGCGAACGUUGUUCGGAAUCACUGGGCUUAAAGGGCGCGUAGGCGGGCUAUCAAGUCCGGGGUGAAAUCCUCCAGCUUAACUGGAGAACGGCCUCGGAUACUGAUGGUCUCGAGGAGGAUAGGGGCACACGGAACUGUGGGUGGAGCGGUGAAAUGCGUUGAUAUCCAUAGGAACUCCGGUGGCGAAAGCGGUGUGCUGGAUCCUUUCUGACGCUGAGGCGCGAAAGCCAGGGGAGCAAAC